UAUCUCUCCGUACGGGGAAAGAUGAGAAGCUUCGACUAAGGUUCGAUUCGAGCGCAGCGAGAAAGCGUUGCCGCAGGCAACGACCCGAAGGGUGAGGAGCGGAGCGACGAAUAAUCCUUCCCCCACCAUCA
rnacentral:sRNA from 1 species